UGGUAGGAUAGAGGCCUACCAUGGUGGCAACGGGUAACGGGGUGUUAGGGCACGACACCGGAGAGGGAGCCUGAGAAACGGCUACCACAUCCAAGGAUGGCAGCAGGCGCGCAAAUUACCCAAUCCCGACACGGGGAGGUAGUGACAAUAAAUAACAAUACGGGGUUCUUUCGGAUCUCGUAAUUGGAAUGAGUACAAUUUAAAUCUCUUAACGAGGAACAAUUGGAGGGCAAGUCUGGUGCCAGCAGCCGCGGUAAUUCCAGCUCCAAUAGCGUAUAUUAAAGUUGUUGCAGUUAAAAAGCUCGUAGUUGAAUUUCGGGGUUAGUAGGUUGGUCAUGCCUCUGGUAUGUACUGGUCUCACUGAUUCCUCCUUCCUUAUGAACCGUAAUGCCAUUAAUUUGGUGUUGCGGGGAAUUUGGACUGUUACUUUGAAAAAAUUAGAGUGUUUAAAGCAAGCUAACGCUUGAAUACAUUAGCAUGGAAUAAUGAAAUAGGACGUUCGAUCUUAUUUUGUUGGUUUCUAGGAUUGACGUAAUGAUUAAUAGGGAUAGUUGGGGGCAUUAGUAUUCAAUUGUCAGAGGUGAAAUUCUUGGAUUUAUUGAAGACUAACUACUGCGAAAGCAUUUGCCAAGGAUGUUUUCAUUAAUCAAGAACGAAAGUUAGGGGAUCGAAGACGAUCAGAUACCGUCGUAGUCUUAACCAUAAACUAUGCCGACUAGGGAUCGGAUGA
rnacentral:rRNA from 1 species